ACUGACCCUGAAUGCACCUGAUUUCAUCUGAUCUCAGAAGCCAACCAGGGAUGGGCCUGGUUAGUACUUAGAUAGGAAAUAAAACCAAAACUAGCUUAAGCUGAAAGGGAGAUUUUUGGCA
rnacentral:rRNA from 1 species